GUUGGCUACGGCGACAUGGCACCGAAAACCUACAUCGGGAUGUUUGUCGGAGCGUUGUGUGCUUUGGCCGGAGUGCUGACGAUCGCUCUUCCGGUUCCGGUCAUCGUGAGCAAU
rfam:Aedes aegypti strain Liverpool supercont1.239 genomic scaffold, whole genome shotgun sequence.